UACAGAGGGUGCAAGCGUUAAUCGGAAUUACUGGGCGUAAAGCGCACGUAGGCGGUUGGUUAAGUCAGAUGUGAAAGCCCCGGGCUCAACCUGGGAAUUGCAUUUGAAACUGGGAAACUAGAGUGUGUGAGAGGGGGGUAGAAUUCCAAGUGUAGCGGUGAAAUGCGUAGAGAUUUGGAGGAAUACCAGUGGCGAAGGCGGCCCCCUGGCACAACACUGACGCUCAGGUGCGAAAGCGUGGGGAGCAAACAGG
rnacentral:rRNA from 1 species